AUUCGGCAAUUGACCACUCAGCUAGCCUACUUCAGACUCACAGUAUGAUGGACUACUUUUAUGUAUAAUGGUGACAUUAUUUUUUAUUUAUUUGCUAUCUUAAUCACUUUGUGAUUUCUUUUCCUCUAGUUGCAGACAUUUCAUAUUGCUAAAUCCUGCAGAGAAGUACAGGACUUAACAAAUGGUGUAGCACUGGCAUAUGUUCUUCAUGAAAUCGAUCCUGCCUGGUUUGACAAAACUUGGCUAAGCCGUAUUAAAAUAGAUGCUGGUGAAAGCUGGAGAAUAAAGGCUAGCAAUUUGAAGAAGAUUCUUCAAGGAAUUAUGGAUUAUUAUCAUGAGUUUUUGGCUCAGCAAAUCUCAGAAGAUCUUCUUCCUGAUUUAAACCAAAUCUCUGAACAUUCUAAUCCAGUAGAGCUUGGCAGGUUAUUGCAGCUCAUUUUAGGCUGUGCAGUCAACUGUGAAAAGAAGCAAGGAUAUCUCAUUAAAAAAAACUCUUGCUUUGUAGAACAUAUACAAGUUAUAAUGACACUA